GAAUGAGUCCCAUCUUCCUCCAGACCUCACACCCCCUCCUUUUUCCUAUUGAAUAAAGGCACGCUCGUGCUCAAUCAACGCCUUGACUGAAUUCUGAGUUUUCAUUCGCAGAGAUUGGGAUGAGUACAAGAAACAGCAAGGCAGCUCAGCUUGCAACGCUCUGGCUGUGGGGUGCGUGCAGGGACACUGUAACCAUACAGGGAAAGGCUUCCACUGCUUCCUCAAGCUGUAGUCCAGCCCUGCUACUGCUCUGUGGCACAAAGCCCUGAGGGAUGUUCCAUAUUGUUAACCUAAGUGAAGCCAGCUUCAUGCACUGUGUUUUGUUGUUGCUGGGUGAGAGGGGGAUGCACGUUGGUGAGAAGAUGAGCAUUGCUGGAUCUGCCACGAGUGUCCCUUCUGCCUCUAAGAAUAUGUCCUAAGUAGGAUGUGAACACUGCUGGCACUUCCUCAUUGCACGUGCUUGGAGGAUCUUCAGUUCUUGCACAUUCAGGAUGUCUGUCAGUGACUACGAGGAAAUUCUCAAGUACUAGGAAUUCCAUGAAACAGUUGGAACGGGUGGUUUUGCCAAGGUAAAACUCGGGCGGCAUCUUCUUACUGGUGAAAAAGUUGCACUAAAAAUCAUGGAGAAAGUUACUGUAGGGGAUGACUUGCCUCAUGCUAAAACAGAAAUUGAUGCCAUGAAGAACUGAAGUCAUCAACAUGUUUGCCCAUUGGAUCACGUAAGAGAGACAUCAAAGAAAUAUUUAUAGUCAUAGAGGUAAGAAAUAGUUUCUGCUUUCUGUGCUGUCAUUGUUACUUAUCUUUCUCUGAUA